ensembl:rRNA 5S_rRNA 5S ribosomal RNA
GUCUAUGGCCAUACAACCCUGAACGCAUCCAAUCUCAUCUGAUCUCGGAAGCUAAGCAGAAUGGGACCUGAUUAGUACUUGGACAGAAAAUAUUUGUGCUACAUUUU